rfam:Lupinus angustifolius cultivar Tanjil chromosome LG13, whole genome shotgun sequence.
AAACCAUGAUUGGGGCAAUUUCUUAGUAGCAUCUGAAAAUGCUCCCAAGCUUCAUAGAAUGCUUCAUCUACGCCUUGCCUGAAAGUGGAUAUUCAAAUUUGGCAU